AAAAUGCGAUAAGUAAUGUGAAUUGCAGAAUUCAGUGAAUCAUCGAAUCUUUGAACGCACAUUGCGCCCGCCAGUAUUCUGGCGGGCAUGCCUGUUCGAGCGUCAUUUCAACCCUCAAGCCCGACUCUUUU
rnacentral:misc_RNA from 1 species